CCUCCCUUUGCUGACAUGCUUGUGGCGGUUCAGUGCUCUUGUGUGUCAUACCAGGAGGAAGAGUAAACUCAGUGUUAUGCUUUCAGUUCCAGUGUGCCUGUCUGCUGGUUCCAACUUCAAUCACUGGCACAGGC